GUCCUGCAUAUCUAGGCAGUUAGGACCCACCGUAAUUGGAGUACUUUGGCGCAGUGGUGGACUGCUACAUCUUGGCCAUUUAUGUAUGUCUAAAUCUCCAAUGUUAAUUACAAAUAUAGUACUUGGUUAUUUCUCCUCUUGUUUUGCCUUGUCAUUUUAUUUUGUCUUGUAUUCCCAGUUCACAUCCUGUCCUGCCUUGUCUAUGUCCUAUUCUUGUU